ACCGAGUUUACAACUCCCAAACCCCUGUGAACAUACCUUAAUGUUGCCUCGGCGGAUCAGCCCGCGCCCCGUAAAACGGGACGGCCCGCCAGAGGACCAUCAAACUCUGUUAUUAGUGUAACUUCUGAGUAAAAAAAACAAAUAAAUCAAAACUUUCAACAACGGAUCUCUUGGUUCUGGCAUCGAUGAAGAACGCAGCAAAAUGCGAUAAGUAAUGUGAAUUGCAGAAUUCAGUGAAUCAUCGAAUCUUUGAACGCACAUUGCGCCCGCCAGUAUUCUGGCGGGCAUGCCUGUUCGAGCGUCAUUUCAACCCUCAAGCACAGCUUGGUGUUGGGAUCCGUGAGUCAAAUCACGGUCCCCAAAUCUAUUGGCGGUCACGUCGAGCUUCCAUAGCGUAGUAAUUUAUUCUCGUUACUGGUAAUCGUCGCGGCCACGCCGUUAAACCCCAACUUCUGAAUGUUGACCUCGGAUCAGGUAGGAAUACC
rnacentral:rRNA from 1 species